AAAUCAGAGCGAGAGCAUGGCUCUGUUCUGUGGCUCUUUUUAAAGUGGACUCGAGACUGUGCCAACGCAAAAGGUGCCAACAUAAAGCAAUUCCUGAGACCUUUGUUCUUCAUCGAUACUUGUACACCCUCUCCCAGUAUCCAUUCUCCGAAAUAAAAAAGGAAAUUACGGGCUAAUUUAGUUAAAUCAAGCUUGAUGUUAUUUAUACCUGUUCAGGAAGCGACAACAUUCAUUCGUUAGACAUUGUGAUGACAAAAAGGACUUGUUCCUAGCCAUGGCUGAGCACUGAGCAAGACGGGCUGUAAAGGCAUCUCCAUCAGAAGACUACCUCCAUCUUCUGUGCUCAAGAGAAUAUGGGAAGGCUACACACCCCUCAGGAAGGACUAGGGCAUCAGAUCUAUGAGACACCACCAACUGCAUCUCCAUCAGAAGACUACCUUCAUCUUCUGUGCUCAAGAGAAUAUGGGAAGGCUACACACCCCUCAGGAAGGACUAGGGCAUCAGAUCUAUGAGAACACCACCAACUUGUUACAUUAUGGUCUAGGUAAACAUGUAUUGAUGGACGUCUGUGCUGAUCACAAGCUUUCCUGACUUGUACCCUCAGUGUUUGAGAUUUUCACACGCAUUUUCUCCUGCCUGACCUGCCUCGUUCUGGAAUGUGUCUUUUUUUGGAGAGAGUUUUUCUCACGGCUCAUUGUAAGCAGCUCCCCGUGACGCAGGAUUCUAUCCUCAUCAGUCUGUUCCCUGAGACAAACAUCAGCUGUGCCUGGGUGACCAGCAAUUUGGCGAGAGAUGCUCUUUGGUCUGCCCGAAACUUGUUGGUCUUCCGAAAGGUGGUGCGUGUAUGGAAUGAGCUGCCAGAGGAAGUGGUGGAGGCUGGAACAAUUACAAUGUUUAAAAGGCAUCUGGAUGGGUUUAUGAAUAUGAAGGGUUUAGAUAGAUAAGGGCCAUGCACAGGGAUUAGAUUAGGUUAGGAUAUCUGAUCAGCAUGGACGAGUUGGAUGAAGGGUCUGUUCCCGUGCUGUACAUCCAUAUGACUCUCUGACUCUGUAACAAGGAGUUGACUCCGACUGAGAAUUGUGGACCAGUAAGGGAUGCACGAAAGCCUGGGACAUCUGCUGCUAAGGUGCAGUGGGGAAAGGCCACCGUCUGAGGUCUUCUUGCUUAAGUUAAUGAGGGUCUGUUGAGUUAUCAGACCCUCCCAAUUCAUCAAGUAUUUGUAAAUAUAGCCUGGUUCAAGUAAGAGAUGCCUUUGGCUUGUUUGUAUAGAUUCCAGGCUGAAAAUGUGUUGCUGGUUAAAGCACAGCAGGUCAGGCAGCAUCCAAGGAACAGGAAAUUCGACGUUUCGGGCCAGAGCCCUUCAUCAGGAAUGAGGAGAGUGUGCCA